UGGACUUACUUUGGUACCCAUUGUCAGACACUAAUAAGGAACCUAAGUCUGCAUGUGGGCCUUCAGUGACUAAUCAUUGGUGCAGGGUGGGGGGAGAAUGAAUAAAACAUAAAAGCCAUUUCCUUGAGGACUUCAUUGUCAUCAGUAGUAAUAAUGUUAUCUACUCUUGUCGCUGGCUCUUAACACUUGGGAUUGUUUACAUCAUUUUGCUGUCAUGGAAAACAGUGACAACAGUGGGUCACCGGAUGAUGGCUAAAGGCUUCCCUCAGCUAGUUUCCACACACAAAAAUCACAAGUCCUUGAGAUCUACUCAUGAAAAGCAUUUGAAGGGUCUCAUAAUAAGGUCUGACAAGUCUGAGAUUUAGCCAAGACUCAUUUUAGAAUAACAGAAUGAAAUAGGGAGAAAUGGGGGAGAGAAACAUUUCCUGUUCUCCACACAGGAAAUGAGGAGUCAAAGGUAUUCAAAAAUGGCAGCUAUUAUCUGCUGUCUUAUCUUUCCUGAACUGGAGGAGUACACAAGGUCAUGACACCUAGAUCCUCUAACCACCCCUGAGCGAGGACCAGGGGUGGUGUUUGUUUUUCUAAAAUAUGGAGACAGAUUGAGGUCUACCGAAAGCAUAGGGACAAUAAGUGAGUUUUAGGGCUUCUUUCUCUCAGGCGUGCCUCUCAGUUUUCUGCCUCUACACAUUCUUGGAGACUUGCACAGCUUUUUACCAUUUCACUGAAUGGAGCAGAUGCAAACAGAGCCCCUUCUCUGUCCUUGUAACUUAUCAUCUUAAAGGAGGGAGGUGAGACAGAGCUGUUUCUAUUUUUUUCGAGUUUGUCCCAGUCUCCUUGUCUGUCCAUCUGUCUGUCCAUCCAUCCAUCCAUCCAUCCAUCCAUCUUGCUUCAGGAGCUAACACCAGAUCCAUUUAUUUCCUCUGUGAGGAAGUAGAGCCUGGGAUAGUGGGAAUGGCUUGCUUCUUAGUCCUCCAGAUGGUAGCAGGCACAUCACCUGGGAGAACAUUGAAAACGCAUCAUCUCCUGGACCUGCGGAAACAGAAUCUGAAUUUUAAUAAGAUCUCCAGAUGGUUCUAGAACAUGUUCAUGCCUGGGAAGCAAUAACUUUGAGCCCAUCCUGCACAGGCUAUGAAGGCCAACCGGCUUCUCUUUCAAUGCCAUCACGCUUUUAUUUUUGGGUGGCCUUCAGGAAAUUUCUUGACCUGUCUAUGUGUUAGUCCCUACUUUUCACAACAUUCCCAAGUAAUGUACCCGGAGAGUUCAAGCAUGUUGGGCAUAUCCAUUCUACAUGACUGGACCACAGAAAUUGCUCUGUGACAGCUGUUAGUGAUUUUAAAAACAAUACUCAUUGUUCCCUAGGCCAUUUGGCUUUGAAGCCUAGGCAUCCAGGCCAAAGGUCUUUCAUAUUUACGUUAUCUGUUAACUUUGUGGAGAGCUUCUUCUUUCCUUCCCUUGCCACUUGGCAUUGGAGAUAUUGAGGCUAAUUUAAACCUACUAGGACAGGAAAUUGGAAUUUGGGUUCCUUUGAACUUGGGAUCAUUCAUGUGUAGUGACCAUUUUGGACAAGUUGAGUCUAGGAGAGGUUAGAGAGGUACCUGGUUAUGUUCUCCCAGGCCAUCUGAGGUGCUGCUUUCCCGGUUCACUGCAUCUUUCUGGCGGCUGGAACCACUGUGACACCUACCUUGAUGGAGGGGUUCUGAGUUAGCAGCAAAUUGGACCGCUCUCUCCUCCCGCCUUCUACGGUCUGCUGAUGAAAGCUGGUGUGUCUUCAAAUAAGACAGACGAUCCUGAGAGCCUGGAGCCAGCGAAAGGCUGUGGACAGACGUGAAUAGCCAGCCAAGCAGAGUUUGCUGGAGAUUUACACCGAAACCGACCUCUAGACACAGAGCCGGGAUUUACAACAGGCUGGUAUUAGCACUGAAGCUUCAGAAAUAAGAAAGUCGACUCAGACAACAUAGCUCUUAUGUAUUCUGGGACUAGGAGAUUCAGAUCUGCACCUGUCUGCCAACCAACCCCAUCUUGACGAAGCUCAGCCUAGGUUCUUUGAUUUUGGAAUAUGUUGUGGCCCAUGUGUGGAUACCAAAUUUGUCCAUCUUUAGCUUGGGAGGAGGGCUGGUACGAGAACCCCUAUGCUGCUGGGUACUGUGAGAAGCACACGAAGAGAAAGUGGGAGGGAAGAGGAAAAAAGUGGAUGAAAGACGAGGAGGAGGGAAAACCAAGAAGAGGUCUGUAGCCUAAACUUGUACUCAAAAUGCCAGUAAGAAUGGUUGUUUCUGGGGAGGGAUCUACACACCAGGGCUUGAAAAGAGAAUAACCUUGCAGAUCACUCUGUCCCUUCAAUAUUUAGACCUUAUAAUUAUGAAUCAUUGUAAACACUGAUAAACUAAAAAGUGGAAAAGGAAGGCCACACUGUCAGUGUCGGUAUUAUCCCUGAAUGCUUCUCCACAGGCCCUUCUGGUGAGGAAAGUGAACCUUAAGAAAACCCCUAUCUUAAGCUAAAGAGAUUGGAGUGGAGUUCCUAAAGCUCAUGUGGUAACUUCUAGAGUCAAAAGUGUUGAGAAUAGGAUGAUUUUUAUAAUGUUUGUGUUUCUUGUAAAUAUUUUGCUUGUGUAGUUCUUUGGGUUUUGAUGAAAAAAACCUUUUUUUUUUUUUUGUAAAUUUCCACCCACCUCAUUUAUCUUGAAAAGAGGAAAGGCUGUGAUGGUUACAUGGUCUAGAGAGAAAGAAGGCUCACCUUAGAGCGGGAAGUGUAGAGAGGCAUCUGAGGACUUCCCAGGAAGCCUAAAUAAACCAUUGAUGAAACCUGACCUGAUUCAACUCAUCUCUCUUAAGAUUACAUGUCGAAGCCCACUCCACAUAGGUGUCUCGGAACCUGGCUUCUGUUUGUCUUUUACAGCAGUGUUUCUGGAGUUUGAUGUUCUCAAGUAUUGCUUCAACAGUUUCCUGUAUCAAGACUUCUAUGUCUGUGACUUCUGAGUUUUCUCUCUCUUGUUUUUCAUAGUCUCAAGUAGCCACUGUGGCUCUAGUCCUCACAUCUGUGUUUUUGUAAAGGAGAAAAUUGGAACUGGAAGGAGUGUGAUCUACCUCUUCAAUUGAUCCUUUCCUAGUUCACAGGUUCAACCAUAUCACAUUGUCAUAUCUAGCAGCUAGAAACAUGGAUAAAGCUUGUGCUUAGUUACUUCUAUAUUUAAAGUCAGGAUUUUGUAGCCAAGGAAGGAAAAAGUGAUUAGACAGUAGGAAUGUCCUUAGUAAUCUUGCUAAAGCAUCUUAGGCAAGAAGGGAACUGGUGCUUUGACAAAGCAAAGAAGGUAGUGGCUCUGUCAGAGUUAGCUUUCCCUGCCUAACAAGCCAUUCCAAACAGGCAGUGACCUUUUAAGUUGAACGGUGAACUUUAAGCAAGCAUCUGUUUGCUUAUGAAUCUGUGGAUCGCAGCCUGGACGAAACUCACCUGGGAGGUUCAUCUCUGGUCACUGGGGUAUCUACUAAGAUAGGACAGAGAGAUACAGUGGGCAGCAAGGCAGAGGAGAGCAUAGCACACUCAGGCAGACUAGAGUUUAUGGCAAACAACGUUAGUGGCAAAUAAACAAUUACAGUUAUUGUGUCAUUCACGCUUCUCUGAGAUUGUGCUGGGAAACAACACCAAGAGGCAAAAGAAGACCUGAUAUGGUAAUUGGCACAUUGGGCCACAGAGAGAGAGUCUACUUGCUUCUCCUAUCCUGCAAGAGCUGGAACUUGCUAAGGAUGCACCACAUUGAAUGUCGUGGUCAUACGGGAAUCUGCAGAGAGAGGCGCCUAGAUCCCCUCGGUCCCAUGUGUCCUCCGAUGAAGACCUUCCAGCCUACACGUCACCGUGUCUGGGCCCGUCCUUCCCUUUCCAUUUGGGUAAGGGAGAGGCAGCCUCUGAGAGUGAAGGCAUGCUGGCCUCAAGGAUGUUAUCCAGUUCCCACAAAUGGCAACUGUUCCUGAAAAGGCUUUGAGUUAGACUCUGAGGCCUACAUGGCGAUGUGGUACCUCUCUCUUCGGCUUUCAGAGCGGCCCAUCUCUGUGUUCCCGGUGCCUGAACUGCCCAGUCACCACUGGUUUCAGAGACUUUCCUGAGACACAGCUCCGCUCAGUAGCACUCUUUAAUUGGUAGAACCGGCCCCUCGCUGUCUGGUGCCCUGCGGCAUUGCACAGCCAUUCUCUGCAGGGCGAGCAUUGGCCCGUAAUUGUGGUGUCACCGCUUCUAGUUAGCAGGCUUCAGUUUGGCUUCAAGGGGCUGAGGAAUUCAAUUGGAUUCUCUGCUUGCAAUUAGGAAGUGUUUGUCAGCAUGGGGCUGAGUAGUCAGGGCUGGAUUGGCUUCACCUAUUCAUGCUCUCUCUCUCUCUCUCUCUCUCUCUCUUCCUUCCUCCAUCCUUCCCUCCCUCCUUCCUUCUCUCCCUCCCUCCUACUCCUCCCUCCCCCU